AAGAACAUAUGUUCUUAAUUUUAAUAAAGUUAAGUUUAUUAGUUUGUUUUUUUCUAUGGAUUGUGCUUUUGGUGUCUGUUGUGGGUUAAUUGUGUUCACCUAAAAAAGAUGUUGGUAUCCUAACCCCUUGUACCUCAGAAUGUGACCUUAAUUAAAGAUGGGGUCUUUACAGAGGUAACCAAAUUAAAAUGAAGUCAUUAGGGUGGACUCUAAUCCAAUAUGACCAUUGUUCUUAUAAAAAGGGGGAAUUCAGACACAGAUAAGUACAGAGGGAAGACCGAUGUGAAGAUACAGGGCGGAGAGAGCCAUUUCCAAGUCAAGGGGAGAGGCCUGGAGCACGUCCUUCCUUCACUGCCUUCAGAAGGAACCAACCUUACUGACACCUUGAUUUUGGACUUCUAGCCUCCAUAACUGUAAGACAAUAAAUUUCUGUUUUAGUAGCCACCUGCAUUAUGGUACUCUGCUAUGGCAGACUUUGAAAACUAAUACAGUGUCACAAAGAUUUUCUUCUACAUUUUCUUUUGGAACUUUUAUAGUUUUAGGAUUUACAUUUAGGUCUAUGAUCCAUUUUGAGUUGAUUUUUUGUGUGGUGGGAAGUAUGGUUUGAAAGUCAAUAUGGAAAUUUACAUAUGGAAAUCCAGUAGUUUCUUCUCAUUUUUUAAAAAGAUUCUCUUUCUCCAUUGAAUUGCUAUUUUACCUCUGUUAAAAAUUAGUUUUCUAUUCAUGUGCAUCUGUUUCAAGACCCUCUAUUCUGCUCCAUUGUCCUAUUUGUCUAUCUUGAUGCUAAUACCAAUCUGCCUUCAUUACCGUAGUUUUAUGAUAAGACUUCAUAUCAGGUUGUUUUAGUCCCCUAUCUUUGUUCUUUUUAAAAAUUGCUUUGGCUAUUUUAGGGCUUUGGCAUUUCCAUAUGAAUUUUAGGAUCAGUUUGUCAGUUGUUACAAUUGGAUUGUACUGAAUCCAUAGAUACAUUUGAGAAGGCAGCAUUUUAACAAUAUCAUGUCUUCUGACCUAUAAAUAUAGGUAUAUCUCAACAUUAUUUUAGGUGUUCUUUACUUUCUCUCAGCAAUAUUUUCUAGUUUUCAGUAUAUAGGUCUUGACAAUCUCUUGUUAGAUUUAUUAGCCUUUCAGAUUUUUGAUAUUACUAUAGAUGUUAUUUUUAAAUUUCAACUUCUAAUUGCUCAUUUAUGGUAUCCAGAAAUAGAAUUGAGUUUUAUAUCAUGAUCUCAUAUCCUAAAAGCUUAUUAAACUGAUUAAUUAGUUCUAAUAGCUUUUUGGCAGAUUCCACGAGGUUUUUUACAUAAAAUGUCACGUUGUCUAUAAAUAAAGACAGUUUUAAUUCUUCUUUUCCAAUCUGCAUACCUUUUCUUUCUUUUCAUUGCCUAAUGCACUGGAUGCAACCUUGAUAAUAAUGUUGAAUUUUAGUAGUAAGAGGGGACAUCCUUUUCUCAUUGCUGAUCUUAUAAGGAACGCAUUCAGGCUUUUACGAAUAGUAUGAUGUUGAUCAGGUUGGCACUUUUUCUCUGGAAAGAACAAGGUAGUACAUUUUUGGCUUGAGGACCACAAGGUCUUCCUGGUAACUACUCACUCAGAUGUUGUAGUACAAAAGCAGCGAUGUCUUUCUUGCAUGCAUCUAUUCAUCCUUACUUAGCUGGAUACAUAAGUAGGAUUCUUUGCAGAUCUCUUUAUUUAGCUCUCUUUAUGUAGCUCUUUUUUUUCCCCCCUCAGGUAUGCUGUCCUGUGACUUCUAGCUACCUUGAUCUUCCUGGAAUCUCAACUCCAUCUCCUGACUCGGGGUUCACUGGGUUCCACCUGGGUUACUCUUGUUGGACUGAGCCCUGGAAACCUUCCCAAGGCAGUAAGCUGUGGCAACUACAGGGCUCCCUGCCUUUGCUUCCCAUGUCUCUGGUGCAAACUUUCAUUGCCCGUUCCUUGCGGCAUGAUGUCCAGCUUCUUAAAAGCCAUUGUUUUAUGUAAUUGUAUGUUUUUAGAUUGUUUCUUAUGGGAGGAUAAAUCUAGUCACUGAUUUUUUAUUUUGGGCAGAAUUUGCCAUAUUUUUCCCCAUAACCUUGCAUUAUUCUGUAUCUUGGUUAAGAGUCUAUUCAUCAUUAUCUAACUUGGAGGAAUCUGUAGGCUUUUUUGGUCUUAUGAUAUCAAAAUAUUUUUGAACCCUUCAUUUGGACCUUUAAUAUCUUUUGAUCUAUACAUAAUGUAAAAAAGUUUUGUGACUUAGUCAAUACAUUUCAAUAUGAUUGUGUUUGAUAAAACAUGGUAGCAUCUGUAUGAUGCUGAAAUGUAGCAAAGUGUAUGUCAUGUUAUAUAGUCAUGUCUUGUUUUUUUUUCAGUUCACUAACAGUGCAGGUGUGCAUAUGAAUUCACAAACUCCUUUGCAAUAACGAUUCAUGUUCCCUAGAUGUUCUUGCAGCUCAGGCUGGAAAUCACUGCCCUAUAGGAUUUUAUGUGACAUAUCCUUCAGUUUAUGGUAUCCUUCAAUUUAUUUGAUCCAGUUUUUCAUAUGUCUUCAAGUUGGUUACCUAUGAAAUAGUGUUGUGGUUUAAAUAUCUGAACCCAGUAGUGGAGACCAAGGUGGGCCUGGUAGGUGCACUUGCACCCAAGUGUAGUUCAUCAGACACUGGACCUAGAGUUGCUUUUUCUACCCAAGGAACGCAUGUGUGGAAAGGAUCUCUAAUGGGAUAUGCCUGACCCAGAAAUCUUGCUGAACAGUAAAGGCCAAGCCUAGAAGUAGCAUCAAGCCAACAAAUUCAGAAGCUAUAAGCUGUGAUGAAAAUGGGAGACGGUUAAGAGGCAGAAACUAGAUGGACAUGGACUAAAAUAGCAGCGGUUUGGAAGCUAAGCCAAUGAGGUAGUGGCAUGGGGCCUGACGCAAAUGCCACUAGACCAUCCAUAGCUGCUUUUGUAUCUAGCAUGUUGCUCAUGGGUAGAUUGGGCCUGAAUAGCUACAGGGUUAUAGCAGACAGCUGCAAAGGGGUGUUUGCAGUAAGUAUUCAUUGAAGGAAUGGCGUAAACAAGACCAAAAACCGUGCUUGAAUUGAUAUCUAGUUAUUUUGUUUGUAGAUACACAUUUUUACUAUUUAUCUUAAAAGUUUCUCUGAAACCCUUUGUUCUAAAACUCCUAUUAUAUUAGCUUUCACUCCCCAUGAUAGUCUUUUUAGAGAGAAUGUCUCAAAAAAUAUUAGAACUUGCCAUUCAGUCAACAAACAUUUUUUGAAUGUCUGUCCUGUGGCACGUACAAUUUUAGGUAUUGAGGGUAUAGAAAUGAAAAAUAAACAAAUCAGUGAUUUAUUUGAGUUUCCAUGCUACUAGAAUGAGGCAUAAGAUAAAGAAAGUAAAAAAGUAAAAUAUGUGGAAUAACUAGUUACGUUCAAUGCCAUGGAAAGCAAUAAGGCUAAUUGGGACUAGUGACAGUGGUGGUGACAUUGGUGGUAUUUGUGUGCAAAUAAAUACAGUGUGGGCAGAAAGGCACACACCUGAAGUGGCUGAACAUUAUAUCUAUUGUCAGCUAGCUGGAUGAUUUGUCUCAUAGUAAGCCUCUAUGAUAUUUUAAAAAAUAAUUCAACCCAUGUUUUACACAUGUGAUUCCUUUGUGUGGCCUCCUUUAGUCAUAUUUCUGACCCCAGCCACAAGAGCUGGGAUUGUAAAACUGAUCUGAUUUACAAUAUCUUAAAAAUCAGUGGGCUGAAGUUUUGUUAGAAAAGAGCUAGGAGGCCAGUGUGGUAGAUGUGUUGAGGUGGCUCUUUGGAGUAAAGAGUUAGUGAGACAUUUUUGAGGGUCAAGCUUAUUUUAUUUUAUUAUUUGUUAUUAUUUUUAAAUCUAACAGCAGCAUCAAGGGUCAACCUUAUUUCUUAGGACACGUGGCCUAUGUGCAGACAGUGGUAUUGAACAGAAAAUGGCAAGCAAUGGACUCUGACACAGUCAGAUAAGUUCUGUCUUUAAGACCUUUUUGGGUCCUAAUAGAGUUAGUUAAUCUAAUUUAAUGAAAGAUACGUUGCUUAUGGAAUUCCAAAUUUCAUCUCACUUAUUUAGUCAUGAUGCAUGCCCUUGAAUAUCAUAAAAAUUAAGAUAAAUCUUGUAGGACAUAGGACUGACUAUGAUUACAACAAAGAGCAUCACAGAAAAUGUAUGGAACUGGGGAGGAAGGGAGUCCUCUACAACUGAAGUGUUAAUAUGCCAGAUGCUGGGCUCUUAUCUUGCUAAAGAGCAUUGUAGCUGGAGAGUGGCAGAGCCAAGAUUUAGAUCUGCCUUGGCUGACUCCAUAGAUGGAUCACUUUGCAUCAUGGCACCCUUCUUUUUUACUGUCUUUAGUGACUUCAUGGGCCACAAUUUCUCUCUGUUUCUCACCUUUGUUGGCCACAAGUGCAGCUCUUUUGCAGCAUCAACCAUGUUUCUCUUACAUACCCAACUUGCCUGUUUAUGGAAUUUCAUCACGGUUUUGUCUCCUGCCGUGCCGAUGAGUAGAAGAAAAACAUUCCAACGUUGAGCUCUUAUCCUUCUAAGGGAAGUGGCAUCACUGCAUCUUGUACUGCCAGUACCAACUGUAAGUGAUGGGCCUGGCAGUGGAGUCCUCUUUGGAUACAGGGCCUCUGACCCAGGUCUACUGGUGGUGUCUGAAGGAUCUGACACACAAGCAAUGGCUUAUUUCCGCUAUAAACAUCCACCACUGUAGAAACAUUUCUUUCCUGUAAAAGGACAUUUUAUAUAUUCUACCCCCUCCUUGAAUUAUAUAGUGUGGAGGAGGAUUUUCUGUUUAAUGAAAAAUAAGACAAUUUUUUUUUUUCAAAUUGAUCAGCCAAUGCCAGAAAACAUUAAUUCUUCUGGAGAGCAUUGUUCCUAUAAAGUGAAACUACUUCACCAAAUUAAUAUGCCAAGAAAACAAGAGGAGAGUAGUUUCAGGUAAAGAAGUAGAAAUCAAUUACCUGCAAAAUUUUAAAUGGUAUUUUUUUAGGUGAUUUUAUUUCCAGAUUAAACAAAUAAAACAUCUAUGCCUUUUCUUACCUGUUUGAACUUUCAGUUAGAACCAGUGGAACCAGGAAAGGAAUAAUAGACUUAUUAUUGAUCUGCAAAAAGAAAAUGCUACUAAAGAAAGACAAUAAUGACAUUUUUAAAAAGUGACUUUUGAAAAAUUAUUUUUCAAGAAUACUUUAAGAUAUCUUUUAUAGUACUGGAAGAAUUUGAUUAAGUCUGGCUUGAACAUUUAAGUGUGUCUGUAACUACCAGUGUGUGCAGGAAAAAAAAAGGUACUAAAUGCAGAUUCUGAAUUUUACACAGCUUCUUUAAAAUGAGCACAUUUUAAAAUGCCAAAUUAGCAGUAGACGAGAAGCAACCCCAAGACUCUGGAUGUAUGCUUAGUGUUGAAGAGUCUAUUCUAGUGAUACCCUUCAAACACACCAGCCAGUUGGGUGUAGCUCCUUCUAGUGUGAUUGGAGGAACCCCUUCUUUUACACUUAUAUUAAGAGGCAGAUGAGGGGGAAAAGGAAGAACACAGUUAAAAUUCUGGAUCUGGUGAGGUUUGUGUGAUUUUUCAGAAUCUCGAUAUUUUUAUCCAGUUGUGAACAUGAAAUGAGAUGAUAUGAGUGGGCACUUGAUCAAAAGACACCACUCAUGGAGUCAUGAUGAGAGUUGAUGGCCAGGGGUUUUGGUCAAUUCAGUCCAAUUCUGUGGACCUGAAGUUCAGCAUUUUAAAAGUGCUCUAUAGCAAAUAAAGUGCUAUAGAUCAGUAAAAGAUUGGUAACAGUGCUAGGCUAUAGGAUAUGUACUUUGAAUCCAGGGAGGCAAUGUUUUAUCCAUUUCUUCCUCCAUAGGAGCUAGCACCAAUAUGAACACAUAAUAUAUAUCAAAUAAAGAAAUCACCUCGUGGAAAUCAGAAGAGACAUCAGUUUUCUCUUACUAACAAUCUAGAUUUCUCUACAAGUGGCUCUUCAAAUAUGUUAAGAAGUGUAUUCUGUUCUCAAUAAUUUAGUAUUAAAAAGAAUUUACCUAGUAUGUAUACUUGAACUGUUGUGGCAUGUGUUAGAAAAUCCUUAAAUUAGUAUAAGAAAUAAAAACAUAAUGUAUUAAUGAAGGAAUUGGAGAAUCUGAGAGCAUAUGGGAUUUAGGUGUGGGUUGAUCCAGAAGCUCAGAUGAAGGCAUGAAGACCAGGUGUCUUACUCCAUAUUCCUACAUCCCUGGGCUUUGCUCUCUGCCAGGUUUAUCUGUUACAGCUAGGACUCACAAGAACCCAGGUUCAAAUCCAGCAGGAAAAAAGUCUCUAGUAACUCUUGCAAAAACCCCAGGACUCACUUGGACUAAUGGGACUUGGGCCACAUGCUUAUCCCUUAACAGUUCCUGGAGAAGGGAUGCUCAGUGUGCACACUGACCGAGUCUGGGUUAGGCUUCCCCUCUUGGAGCUUGGAGUAGGGUCUUCUCUAAGCACAUGGUCUGAUAAUGAGUGAUGAAAUGAGUAUUCUACUGCCAGAGGAAAGGAGGAGGGGACACCAGUGGCCUGUAUGCAGUUAAGACUCUACCCUGUCUGUGGACUCCUUGGUUGCCUUCUCUAGGCCUUUGUAGCUCAUUCCACCUCAGGUGAAAUUUAGAGAAGAGAUAUCAUUUUUAGUAAGAUCAUGAGAGGCCCAAAUAGUCUAAUUUGCUAUAUUGAUUUUUCUCAGGUUUCUUGGGUGCCAUUUGUGUCCAUAGGCAAUAAAACAACUGAGGCUUUCUCCAAGUAUCUAAACUGCACUCAAGGGUCUGACAAGAUCUUUCUAGUGAUCUUGGGAUCCAGAGAUUUGGGUGCAAGGAACUGAGUUCAAGUCCUCAUUACCUGUCUUGGCUGUGGCUUUCUGGCAAACUGAUCAAUAUGGCUUCUACAGAGCUCCACAUACACACGUACAGAGCAGCCACGUUACAUUCUAUACAGAGGAGAGUCUGCACAGAUGCCCCUUUUGCAUGAUUCACAUUUCAUCUCCUCAGAAAGGCCUUCUUCAUUCUUCUUAAUAAAUUGUUAUCUGAAAUUAGUUGUUUAUUUUUUGUCUACUCUCACUAACCUCUCAUAUGUAUUAAACCCCAUAAGAGUAAAAUGUUUUUCUAUCUUCUUUUCUUCAGUAACCACAGCAUCUGAAACAGUGCGUAGCAUAUGGUAGGCACUCAGUACACAGUUCCUAGAACAUGAAUAAAUGGCUUCUAGAACCAUUUUUCUAUGGCCUCUGUAGAGGCAGUAGGCACAAACUGUGUUUUAUAAAUGAGGUUGGAUUGAAUGACUACAAUAGCUGAAUCCAGUCACGGCCAUGUUGUUAUAAUGGAUGGGCCAUGCCAUGUAAUGAAGUAAUUAACUCCCAAAGUUUAUACUUCAUCCAAAAGACAUAUUACUGGCUUUAGGCAAGGAAUGAGUCUGGCCUCCAUGAUGGAUGGAACUUACAUUUAAAGACAAUAAGCAUUUUACUAUACAGUGUUUUAUCUUGAACCACACAGUUGCAUGUGAGGACAAAUAUGAUUUCACUAUACAGGAACAGAAUAAGGUUUGUGAUUAAUGUACUCUUGGAGCUCACAAUCUCACCAUCUACUUGGCAGAGAUAUUAAAGUAGUAGUUACUUCACUCAUGGAAUUCUACCAUCGUUUCUGGAAAUAAGCUAGAGUUUUCACGGUCAAUUCCUUCAUGGAUGCCCCAUCACCCUAAUCUGUGAGAAGAAGAACUGAUUCCAGCAACUGCACUUAUUAAUCGGAGUCUACAUUUCCUUAUUACAGAGAGGAGCUGUUGAUUGGAUCUCUGAGUAGUUCUGUGGUAGGCCGGGCUCCUUGGUGAAUUUAAUUCCUUUGCUCAAAUGUGCAGGCUUAAACUUUACAGAAAUGAAAUUGAAUGACCAUCAAGAGAAGCCACAGUGCCGAUGAUUUAGUGUAUUAGUAGGCCUCAGAGCAUAAGUUAGCUUUAUUUACAGAUAUUACUUUUAUGGUGAACUAUGUAAAAGGAUAUCAACAAAAAGAAACUGAAUUUCAACUUUCAGAAUAUUGCUUGUAGUUAUCACUCUGUUAGUCUAAAUGAUUUAAACUUUUUCAUUCCAUGUUGACAUUUUUAACAAACACAUAUGAGCACUUUCCAGGUAUUAAGAACCUGUUUUGGUUUCAGGAAAUACCCAGUUCAAAGGAAGAGGGACAGACCUGCACACCACUAAUUUUAAUGUAUAUUUUAAAUAGUAUAAUAGAAAUCUGUGCCAAAUAUCAUAAGAGGUGGCAAAUAAUUAUUGUUGGGAUGGAGCUAGUGUAUGUAGUGUGUGUGUGUGUGUGUGUGUGUGUGUGUGUGUCCGGAAGCGUAAAGAGACAGAUGGUUCUGAAGGCUGGCACAUAGUGGAAGCUUCCUGCUAAACAGAUGUCCCUCUCGGGGUAAUGCAUGCUGCCCAAGAAACCUAUGCUUUUUGGCACCUGCACCCAUUGCCAAGGGUCUUCCUACUCUCUAAAUCGGCAGCCUGUACUUCAAGUAGAUGGAAGGAGGGAAUAUGGGUCAGCCAGAAACCAUGAACAAAUUCAAAGGCAUUUGUUUGGCCUGGAGGGUGAUAAAAGUUCAGAACUGAUGGUUUUUGUUUGUUUGUUUUGAUUCUAAGAUUUGGUGCCCUUUGCUAGGAGACCAAUUGGCCCAUCAGCUCUCAGCAGCAUUCACUCUGUGUAGCUAUAAAACUCUUCUUGGUUCUUUGGGGAAUUUCAAAGUUGAGUAGAAAAUCUAUUCUUGCCCGUGAGGAACUGGCAAUUCAAUCACUUUUCCCAAAGCCAAAAUCUAGAGGGAAUGAGACUAAAACAAACAAAGCACAACAACAAAAAACUUGAUGCAAAAAUAGUAGCAUAAUAUGAUAAUUACGUGGUAAUUUAAAACAUAAUUUAAAAAACGGUUUACUGUUACAUGGAUUUAGAUGUAGAAUUGGAAAAAUGUUGGAGAAAUAUUCUCUGCUGUAAAACAGGGCUUCUGGGCAUAGGGGGUGUGGUGGAGGAUGAAUCAUCGCAGGUAGGCGUGCAAGUUUGUGUUUUGGGUCUUCAAAACAAAAAUUGCAUAAUUGACUAUCUUGUCCAUCAAGCAUUUCACAAAAUAGACCUCUGACCAAGAGGGGCUUCAGUGGCUCUCUCCCUUCCCCUCUCUUCUCAGUAUAAUUUUAGGAACCUCUUGGACAGUAGCUACACCUAUAGUUAAUGGGAAUACAGGGAGUAUUCAGAAAAAAAACAAACAAAAAAACCCUGCCUUUCUGAAUAAAAAGAAGAAAGAGAAAAAAAUGUC